CUCGUAGCCUGUCAAGCGAAACCACUCAGUUAGUCCACUUGGACACUACUAUCGUGCCGACUGAUAACGUCACCGUUCGGGAUGACCACCGGCCGAUGGUUCCCUGUGGUAACAUUUCCAAUUGCAGAGGAAGGAUACUAUCAAUACAUCAUACAGCAGGAAGGACAGGGCACCCAAUCAAAGGAUUACCGGCUGACGCUCCGGCUAAAACAAACCAGCAGCAAACCAGUCGCCGGAAGUGGCCACCCUCGCACCCAUUGGUUGUGUGCAGCGAAAGGCCAGACUAUAAAUAAACGCCUACCGUUUGUUACA